AUGGGCGCAAGCCUGAUGCAGCGACGCCGCGUGAGGGAUGACGGCCUUCGGGUUGUAAACCUCUUUCAGUAGGGAAGAAGCGAAAGUGACGGUACCUGCAGAAGAAGCGCCGGCUAACUACGUGCCAGCAGCCGCGGUAAUACGUAGGGCGCAAGCGUUAUCCGGAAUUAUUGGGCGUAAAGAGCUCGUAGGCGGUUUGUCGCGUCUGCCGUGAAAGUCCGGGGCUCAACUCCGGAUCUGCGGUGGGUACGGGCAGACUAGAGUGAUGUAGGGGAGACUGGAAUUCCUGGUGUAGCGGUGAAAUGCGCAGAUAUCAGGAGGAACACCGAUGGCGAAGGCAGGUCUCUGGGCAUUAACUGACGCUGAGGAGCGAAAGCAUGGGGAGCGAACAGGAUUAGAUACCCUGGUAGUCCAUGCCGUAAACGUUGGGCACUAGGUGUGGGGGACAUUCCACGUUUUCCGCGCCGUAGCUAACGCAUUAAGUGCCCCGCCUGGGGAGUACGGCCGCAAGGCUAAAACUCAAAGGAAUUGACGGGGGCCCGCACAAGCGGCGGAGCAUGCGGAUUAAUUCGAUGCAACGCGAAGAACCUUACCAAGGCUUGACAUGGACCGGACCGCCGCAGAAAUGUGGUUUCCCCUUUGGGGCCGGUUUACAGGUGGUGCAUGGUUGUCGUCAGCUCGUGUCGUGAGAUGUUGGGUUAAGUCCCGCAACGAGCGCAACCCUCGUUCUAUGUUGCCAGCGGUUCGGCCGGGGACUCAUAGGAGACUGCCGGGGUCAACUCGGAGGAAGGUGGGGACGACGUCAAAUCAUCAUGCCCCUUAUGUCUUGGGCUUCACGCAUGCUACAAUGGCCGGUACAAAGGGUUGCGAUACUGUGAGGUGGAGCUAAUCCCAAAAAGCCGGUCUCAGUUCGGAUUGGGGUCUGCAACUCGACCCCAUGAAGUCGGAGUCGCUAGUAAUCGCAGAUCAGCAACGCUGCGGUGAAUACGUUCCCGGGCCUUGUACACACCGCCCGUCAAGUCACGAAAGUUGGUAACACCCGAAGCCGGUGGCCUAACCCCUU
rnacentral:rRNA from 1 species